UAGGGAAUCUUCGGCAAUGGACGAAAGUCUGACCGAGCAACGCCGCGUGAGUGAAGAAGGUUUUCGGAUCGUAAAACUCUGUUGGUAGAGAAGAACGUUGGUGAGAGUGGAAAGCUCAUCAAGUGACGGUAACUACCCAGAAAGGGACGGCUAACUACGUGCCAGCAGCCGCGGUAAUACGUAGGUCCCGAGCGUUGUCCGGAUUUAUUGGGCGUAAAGCGAGCGCAGGUGGUUUAUUAAGUCUGGUGUAAAAUGCAGGGGCGCAACCAUUGUAUGCAUUGGAAACUUGUAGACUUGAGUGCAGGAGAGGAGAGUGGAAUUCCAUGUGUAGCGGUGAAAUGCGUAGAUAUAUGGAGGAACACCGGUGGCGAAAGCGGCUCUCUGGCCUGUAACUGACACUGAGGCUCGAAAGCGUGGGGAGCAAACA
rnacentral:rRNA from 1 species